UUAAUUGAAACCAAAGUAGAGGUAUGUCACUGUUAAUGAUAUUAGUGAAUUUUUUUUCCAAUUAAA
rnacentral:tRNA from 1 species